rnacentral:rRNA from 1 species
UACAGAGGGUGCAAGCGUUGCUCGGAAUUACUGGGCGUAAAGCGUGCGCAGGCGGUUUUUUAAGACAGGCGUGAAAUCCCCGGGCUUAACCUGGGAACUGCGCUUGUGACUGGAAGGCUAGAGUACGGCAGAGGGGGGUGGAAUUCCACGUGUAGCAGUGAAAUGCGUAGAGAUGUGGAGGAACACCGAUGGCGAAGGCAGCCCCCUGGGCCGAUACUGACGCUCAUGCACGAAAGCGUGGGGAGCAAACAGG